GGGAGAGGGGCAGGAGGGCAGCGAAGGGGAAGCACCGGGGCCCUCCCCCGGCCCGGCCCGCAACCCCGCGAGCGCGCGAAGCCCCCGCAGCCGGCCUGGACUUAGCGACACGCAGGCUCGCGGCGGCCUCGCCAGGACCUGCCCCGGACCCCAAGCCGCCACGCUCGCUCCCAAGGGGACCCCGCGGACGCGCGCGCGUGUGUGUUCCACGCGGUCACGUGACGAACUGCAGUGCCGCCCCCACCCCCGCUCACAGGCACAGAUUGGCUGACGGCGCCCGAGAUCGCGCCCUGCGACCCCCACCCGCCGUGGAACCGCAGCCUGGGACCCUCAGCCAAGCGCUCCGGGCGGCCGCGCACGCGCACCCGCGACCCCGUCUCGGGCUCCCACACUCAGCGCCCGGGGCAGGCCCAGACCCGCCAGGCCGGAGUGUGCUGGACGACGCCGCGCCUGCGCAUUGACGGCUCCGCCCCGCCAUCGAAGCCCCGCCCCGCGCUCCUAACAGGUCCUGCCCCUCUCGUCAUUCCCGCCCUCCAGGCCCCGCCCCGCCGUCCAAGCCCCGCCCCGACUGGCAUCGGAGGAUCAAUCGCCACUCCCUCGUCCUGCGUUCCCUGCGGGCCUCCGGCGCCCAGGCUGUCGGGCGCCUCCCUUCAGGUAGGGAAGGGACUAAGCUGAGCGCAGCCCAAGACGCCCAAGCAGCAGCCGGAGCGUUCUCCAGAACGAGGCCCGGUACGGGGUCUCGGCUGAGGGACCUGGGGGCCGGCCCGCUCCUCCGAGGCCGUGCCCACGGGGCGCCCCUUUCGCCAGCGGCCUCCCCCAGCUCCUGCACGGACCACCCCUCCUGGGCCCCAGCCUUAGCUUAGGGGGCAGCUGCCUCCUGCAGGUGUUUUCUUGCCUCCGUGUCCGCUUCUGCCUGUUCAGCCCUCCGUGCCCUCAAACCCUUCGCACACCUGGGGAGCUCCUGCCCUCCUGACGCAGUACCUGCUGUCCCGAGGAGCCUCCCGGCCUGUGCUCCCUUUCCUGAGGCAUCGCCAGCACUUGUUCUAGAUGGGGAUCUCAUGUGCUGCCCAGGCUGGUCUCGAACUCCUGGACUCAAGCCAUCCACCCGCCUCGGCCUCCCAAAGUACUUGUUACUUCAGCUCACCCAAUUCCAUAGAACCAGAGGGUGCAGACGAUGCAGAUCUCUGAGCAGAUGAGGGCAGAAAGCAGGAGCCCGCACUCGAUCCAGAGGCCAGACUGUGGAGCUGUGCAGGAGGCAGAGGCUAUGCCCAUGACAGCAGAUGGAUCCUGGUAGUUACACAGAAAACCGGCGAGCUGGAUUUGUCCUGGUGAUGAGGCUCUGGAGCAGCAGUUGAAUGGAGUCAUUCCUGUCCUCCUUAACCACAUCCCCAAGGGCCACUCACCUUCUUCCCAGGGCACAGACCCCUGGCAAAGCAUGUACCCUCGGAGAAUGCUUGGAGGAAAACAUGGCAUGUGCUGGUUUCAGUGUCGUGGGGCCCUUCCCCCAGCAUCAGCCUUCUCUUCCAGCGAGGACUCUGGUCUGCGGAUUGGUUUCACCUAGAUGGUGGGUGAGGGGCCGACUGUACCUCGAGACGACCAAGCUCUUCCCAGGUUCUGUUGAUGCACUGCUCGAGGCAACGUUUUGAGACCCAUCAGCUCCUAUUAGGUUUGUGUCCCCCAGAAUUCGUAUGCGGAAGCUGUAACCCCCAAUAUGGCCACAUUUGGAGAUGGGACUUCUGAAGAAGUAAUUAAGGCUAAAGUCAGUCACAAGGGUGAUCCGACAGGACAUGCGUCUGUAAAAUGAGAGACAGCAGAGAGCUCCCUCUCCCAGUCAGUCAUGUCGGCACACGUGAGAAGGCAGUGUUGGCAACCCAAGGGAAGAGUCCUGGACAGGCACUAGCCAACACCAGCACCUUCAUCUCAGACUACCAAUCUCCAGAAAUAAGAGAUAUUUUUGUUAAGCCCCCCAGUCUGUGAUAUUGUGAUAACAACCUGAUAUGGUUUGGAUCUGUGUCCCCGUCCAAAUCUUAUGUUGAAUUGUAAUCCCCAAUGUUGGGGAGGGGCCUGGUGGGAGGUGACUGGUUCAUGGGGGCAGAUUUCCCCCUUGCUGUUCUUGUGAAAAGGAGUGAGCUCUCAGGAGACCUGCUUGUUUAAAAGCGUGGCACCUUUCCCCUUCGCUCCCUUUCUCUCCUGGUCCGCCGUGGUAAAAUGUGCUUGCUUCCCCUCCGCCUUCUGCCAUGAUGUAAGUUUCCUGAGGCCUCCCCGCCAUGCUUCCUGUACAGCCUGCAGAACUGUGAGUCAGUUAAACCUCAUUUCUUUAUAAAUUACACAGUCUCAGGUCGUUCUUUCUAGCAAUGCAAGAAAGGACUAAUACAGAGCCCAAGCUGACUCCAGCAGCUUCCAAAGGGCAAGUACAACACAGCAAGUCUUGCCUUUCCAGAGCAAGCACAGUACUCCCUGAGAGAGCAGCUGCAGCAUUCUCACACGUCUUCCUUGGAAGUGAACUUGAGCCCCAGCACUGGCCACUGAGCUUCCUGAGCAACCACCCAAGGCGCAGUGGCUCACGCCUGUAAUCCCAACACUUUGGAAG